CGCCUGAUGAUCUGAGUUGGGACAGUUUCAUCCCACCCCCACUCCCAUAUGUGGAAAAAUUGUCUUCCAGGAAACUGGUCUUUGAUCCCAAAAAGCUCUACUCUCAUUGGUAUGUCGACCUCUAGUUUCCUGAGUCUUCACUGCCGAGUCAUAUAAGAGCCCAAAUGGAAUGAAAGGCCAGGACCCAGAACCUAACAAGUGUCUGCAGACCUGCAAUUAAAUUCCUCAAGAACGGAUCCCAGCCUGUCAUACUACUACCAUCACUAUAUUCAGCAAAAGUCCCAUGAGAAGUCUUGGCAGUUACUCCUGUCAAAUUCAAAUUUCAUCAUGAUUCACUGUGACUUCUUCUUGAUUAUUGAAACUGGGCACUAGGCUAGCAUUUACUGCAGUGGUUUUGAUUGAUAGAUGUGAAAUCAGAGAGAACAAAGAAUAAGCAUCGUUCCUUCUGAGACUUCCUGAUCCGUUUCAUCACAACUAUUUUCCUCAUUUAUUCCAGUCCUCACUACCCUUCCCAGCCUCUGG